rnacentral:lncRNA from 1 species
CUCAGACGCCAUCUUGGUUUCAGUAUCCAGGAGGUUUCACCACGUUAAGCUGUGUCCAGGAAUCCUGUUCAGGCCUUUCCGCCCGUCCAGCUUCUUCUGACUCCGUUCUCCGUCGUAGAUCGCGUCCCAGGGACUCCUAAACCGUAAGUCAGACCUUCCUGUCACGCCAGGACUGGUUCCCACGGCGUACGGUACAGCACGGGUCCUCGCUUUACGGCUUUUCCCUGGUUAUGACACGAAUGUUUCAAGCCAUUCGCGGGCUUUUCAUUCGUACGGUCAUUCGGCUGAACAUGUUUUAAAUUGUUCAAUAGUCAUUUCGCAUAUCCUAUUCAUGUUAUUUAAACGAAUGUUCAUUCGGUUGUUUUGCCGUUCGGCAAAUUUUACAUACGCUCAUACACGCUUUGGUUCGCAUAAAUCAUACGGUUAAACUAUUCUAACUUCUGUGUUCCCCUCACAUUUGCUUUCGGCUGUUCUGUGUGUUCACGUAUAAUCCUUUCAUGAAUUAUAUUCACCAUUUCAUGUGUAUAUAACAUUCGGUUAAAGUAUUGCUUGCUUAAAUAGAUUAUUGUUGAUUACUUUUAACAAUUGUCAGUAUUGUAUUACGUCCACAAAUCAAGUCCACUUCUCUGUGUAUACCAUUUGACUCCCACGCUUUCAGGGGUCUGCAUUACUUAUCCAUUUAUACGAAUGGACUCAGCCUAUGUUACAAGCCUCAUUUCUGGGUUAUUUAUACAACAUAUACAAGGAUAGGUUCAUUUAAGCAAUAAUUCUCGGGUUGAUACGUCUUUGCUAUACAUACAUAUCAUAUAGAUAUACAUCAGUUUACAUCAUGUUAAAUCAUUUUGGGGUAUCCCUGCCUUUGGUCUUUCUGCUACAUAUCAUACAUAACGCUGUGUUAAUUAGGCCAUGACCUCAUCCAUGUCCCUUUCUAUAAAACCAGUUACAUUUCGGUACAGAUCAUUGAACUCCCACGCCAGGAGUUUUAUAACUAUCCAUUUCAUUUCAAUUUACUCAGCCUACAUUACAGGCCUCAUUUCUCUGUCAUGACGAUGACACAUAAGGCUUAAAUCCUUUUGCAUGCAUACUCGGGUUGAAUCACACGUACUGAUCCAACCAAUCAUACGUCCCCUACACAGUCAUAUACAUAUGUAUAUAACCUACGUUUCAUGUUUUCCUUUACACACCAUUAUCACGUAACACAUAGAUUGUUUGUACAUAGGCCACGGCCUCCCUCAGAUGUCUUAUUCAAGCAUGCAAACAUUUCUGAGCCACUCAUAGCUAUUCCCAUGGUAUCAACAUAAUUUUAUACAUUGCUGCUACAGACUAUAAGUCUGGUUCUUUUUACACCCCACACUCAUCGUACUACUCUCUUUUACCCAUUUUUAGGCUGUCGAGCUUAUAUAAUUGCUCCACACGGUUUAUUCCUGUGAUUUAUCAUACUACCAGGUACGUACACCUGCUCAUAUGGUAUUCUACCAUACAUUUCAUUUCAUCCCCCUAGUUUAGAGUACUGGCAAUAGGGUCACAGGAUUCCCAAUAGGUAUUUACCCCAUCUUGGCUGUCGCCAUUAGUUAGUGGUCCCGCGAGGCCAACACCCCGCCUCAAACGUUUCGGAGGCAAACACCCAUCGGGCCACACGUUAGCUAGCCGCCUCGCAUGUUGCAAAGAGAGGGCCUCACCUGUCACUCCCUUCCCCUGUUUUCUGUCGUACAGUCACCGAGAGGCCUAAAACUCCUGCCACUACGUCAAGUGGCCUCAAUAACCCCUCGCGCCAACGCAUAGAUAGAGCCUCUCAAGCCGCUUGGCAAUUAGUAGGGCCUCACCUGUCACCAAACAAGCAUAAUACUUUCGCCAUCCGGCCUAGCUAGCCUGCCAGUACAAUUUGGUGGUUCUAUAUACUAAUUAUUGUUUUAUUUAUAGUAUGUCUCAGGAAGGGGUAGAGGAUUUCUCCCUGCCUAGCACCCCGGCUAGAGCUGUCACUCCCACACAAGGAGGAGAGCUAGCUAGUCCAGCAUCAAUUAGAUCCUGGACAAUCCCGCGCAUAACCACGGAAUUAAGGAGACGACAAAUCCCCUACCCCGCUACAGCAAGGAAGGCAGAACUUUUCAAACUGCUACGCACAUCAACCAAUAACAUGGAAGCCGGGGAAGGAUCUAGCCAGUCCAACCCAGGGGACAUACAGGCCAUGUUAUCCUCACUCAUGGCAUCCAUGGGCAAGGUCAACUCCAGGCUGGAGAAACUUGAGUCGGUCACCACGGCCCUCACUCUAGCAGGGCCACCCGCGGCUGCGGUACAAACACCAGCCUUGCCAUUAGUCGCUCCAGCCAGCCCCCUGGAUGACCAGGAAGUUAGCCCGGCCCACAUGAUACCUGAGCAUAUCAAAAGGGAUGUCCUGGAAGGUAAAGACGUCAACCUGGCUUCCCUGUUGAUUGCCUCCCAGGACAUUGUGGAACAUAAGACGUAUGCUUAUGAUGAUGUUUCUGUUAUUGUCAGAUCUAGGGAUGCCCGCCUGAACAGGAAACUGACUAUCCCUGAAUUUGUACUAGCGUUUGGUAUUUACAGGGAUGUCGUCUGUGCGGUUUAUCCCAACAGAAGAGAGGAGUUUGAUCUCUAUAUGCACAAGCUGGUAGACCUGGGCAACAAAUAUGGUGGUUCAGCAUUCUAUGACUACCAUAGGUCUUUUUCUGCAAAAGUGGCUGGAGCCUUCUCCCAGUACGGUACACGAUCCAACUGGGGAAGGAUUGAUACCGUCUUAUUUUGCAGACACUUUGCAGGUCUAAGAACACCAGCUUGUGCAUACUGCUCCUCCACAGCCCAUACUACUAAUUUUUGUCCCAACACGGCAGACGGACAUGCCUCCACACAAGGAACUAGUUCCUCUGGGGAUCCAGGGAAACUAUCCAAAGACAAAUUGGGACGCCCAAUCAAGUUUCUGGGCAAGUCCCAGAUAUGUAAUAAUUUCAAUGUUGGGUCUUGUAAUUACAGUGGAUGUAGACUAUUGCAUGUCUGUUCAAAAUGUUUUAGGGCACAUGCUAAGACCAUGUGUCCAAAUAAAAUGUAUUCUAAGCCUUACCUUACGUCCAUUAAUAUGCCAGUAUUCACAGCAUUGAUGUCUCAGCACCCAUCUAGACACCUGGUAGAUUUUCUUAUUUCUGGUUUAACAGAAGGCUUCCACACAGGUAUCCUACACAUACCAGCUGGCACUCUGGAAUGCCCAAACCUACAAUCCGCCCAACACAACCCCACAGUGGUUGACACCCUCAUAAACCAAGAAGUGGAGGAGGGCUUUGUAUUGGGGCCUUUUAGAACUCUAAAACAGAAAAAAUACAAUUUAUGGCGCUAAAAUGAAUAGCAGCUAGAACACACUAGUGGGUACAAUCACAAUAAUCCCACAAAAACAACAGUGUACAAAACAGAAAAAGUGUGCAGCGCAUGAACCAAACCCACAAAUCUUAUAGGAGUAUAAGCACAAUCAGUGCAUAAAAAUACAAAGAGACAUAAAUACCCCAGUAUUUUAAGAUCUUUAAGGGUCAUACGUUUUGGUCAGAUCCCAUAUAGAAACUGGUUCAAGUAGUAUCACUUUAAAAAUGUCUCAGGUCAAAUCUUGAAGUUACUCCCAGGGAUGUAGCUUGAUCCUCAGAAUAUGGAAAUGGUUGGACAAGCAAACAUCAAAUUAAAAGAGUAUAAAAAGCACAUUUAUUAUAAGUAAAUAAAAACCUUACAUUGAGGUCUUGUAAAAUCAGCAAAGAAAUGACAGCAUAAAUAGCAGCACAACGCGUUUCAACGAUCAAUCUCGUCUUCCUCAGGUGCAGUUCACAUUGUUACAUAAAAUUCAUACAUUUAAAAGCCUUUUGGCGCGGAAAAUCGGGUAUUUAUCAAGUUCAUAUGGCUACUAAACCUCAAGUCCACAUAAAAAUAAUGUACAUGUGUACAUUAUUUUUAUGUGGACUUGAGGUUUAGUAGCCAUAUGAACUUGAUAUAGAAUUUUUUCGCUGGGUAAACCGGACCGCAAGCGAAACCGGAAGUGCCCCCUGUGAAACGCAUAUUGGAACGCAUGCGAUACCGGAAGUAAAAGGAAUGGAACGCAUAGAUCCGGAAAUCACAGACUGUGAAGAGGAAACCAUUUAGUCUUUGCUGAUUGGUUCGAUGGCAAAGGGGGCGGGUCCUAAAUACCCGAUUUUCCGCGCCAAAAGGCUUUUAAAUGUAUGAAUUUUAUGUAACAAUGUGAACUGCACCUGAGGAAGACGAGAUUGAUCGUUGAAACGCGUUGUGCUGCUAUUUAUGCUGUCAUUUCUUUGCUGAUUUUACAAGACCUCAAUGUAAGGUUUUUAUUUACUUAUAAUAAAUGUGCUUUUUAUACUCUUUUAAUUUGAUGUUUGCUUGUCCAACCAUUUCCAUAUUCUGAGGAUCAAGCUACAUCCCUGGGAGUAACUUCAAGAUUUGACCUGAGACAUUUUAAAGUGAUACUACUUGAACCAGUUUCUAUAUGGGAUCUGACCAAAACGUAUGACCCUUAAAGAUCUUAAAAUACUGGGGUAUUUAUCUCUCUUUGUAUUUUUAUGCACUGAUUGUGCUUAUACUCCUAUAAGAUUUGUGGGUUUGGUUCAUGCGCUGCACACUUUUUCUGUUUUGUACACUGCCUUUUAGAACUCCCCCAUUCACAGAAUGGCGCACCAACCCUAUUGGUAUUGUCACAGGGAAAUCUUCCCAAAAACAGAGACUCAUCAUUGACUUAUCGGCUCCCCACUCAUCGGCCAACCCCAGUCUUAAUUCCCUCAUACCCUCUGAGGAAUUCUCUCUGCAAUACACCACCAUAGAUCACGCCAUUACAGCCAUCAUACAAGCAGGGGUGGGAGCCUGGCUCAGUAAGACCGACAUUACUAACGCCUUCAAAUUACUCCCUAUCCACCCCACACUGUGGCACCUGCAUGGCAUCAAGUGGUCCGAGAACUACUAUUUUUUCUCCCGGUUAACUUUUGGGUCCAAAAGUAGCCCAGCUAUUUUCGACACAUUUGCCGAAGCACUAUGCUGGUUACUAUUGAACAUAGCCGGAUGCCCUACAGUAUUACAUUACUUGGACGAUUUCCUACUGGUCGAGGAGAAUACUGCACCUCCCACUAGCCUCAAAGCUACCACUAAGCUGUUUGAGCAACUAGGUGUACCCAUCUCCCCAAAGAAAACAGAAGGGCCAGACACGGUUAUCACUUUUCUGGGUAUCCAGUUAGACUCUGCCACAAUGCAAGCAAGCCUACCUUACGAAAAGAUAGACAAUAUUCUCACUUACAUAAACAACUACCUACAGCUCGGCACUUGCAACCGCAAAGAACUACAGUCCCUGCUGGGGUCACUAAAUUUUGCAAUGCGCAUCAUACCUCAAGGCCGCUCCUUUAUUUCACGACUAUUGCAUCUUUUCCCACUUUUUCUACAUGACACGCACAGGUUGUCCUUAGAUGCCCAAGCUACGGCAGAUCUAAACAUGUGGAAGAGGUUUUUAACCACUUGGAAUGGUAAAAGUAUGUUCCUCCCUCAAUUGACUGAAUCAUCUCCUACCAUUUGGUCAGAUGCGGCAUCUACCACUGGUUUUGCAGCAAUUUUUGGAAACGAAUGGCUUUGGGGCAGCUGGCCUUCAGCAGUUCUGGAUUUGGAAGGUUUUUCCACUACCUCAGCUCUUUUUGAGAUCUACCCCAUAGUGGCGGCUGCCGUAGCGUGGGGUCAUUUAUGGGCUAAUACGCCAGUGCGUUGUUACUCAGACAACCAGGCGACCUGUCACAUCAUCAACAAAGGUCGUUCCAAAUCUCUUACGAUUAUGAGAUUUCUGAGGAAACUCACUUGGUUGGCAGCUUGUCAUAAUUUCUUCCUAUGUUGUUUCCAUGUGCCAGGUGUAUACAAUACAGCUGCUGACAGUUUGUCUCGCUUUAAAUUUCAGGAGUUUCAUCAAGCACUCCCGUCAGCAGCACCCACAGCCACCAUCACUCCAACAUUUCAACAACUCAUACUGGACUAGACGUCAUCAUGCAGCAUAGCAGGACAUUGUCUCAGUUGGCACUUUCACACAAUACAAACAAAACAUACAACAGGGCUUUCACACUAUUCAAACGAUUCCUUCUGGAACAUAACAUCAUACAACCGUUUGUUAUGACAUCUUUUUUGGGGGUUUGCUUCCUUUUGCCACCUUAAACUCAAAUUGUCAUAUAACACCAUCAAACUCUAUCUCACUGGCAUUCAACACCACAUGCUCAUCUUACACCCAAAUAACAACAGUUUCAUGGCCUCUCACCAAAUUAAGACCAUACUCAGAGGUAUUCAAAAAUCAGAACCCACACAUUUGGCCCAGAGGCUACCCAUAGAUAACCAUAUCUUCAAAGCUUUAUCUAACCUACUCGACCUGAAACCGUUUGACACUAAUACGAAUUCUAUCAUCAAAACAGCAAUAUACAUCGCUUUCUAUGGAUUUCUACGACCCAGAGAAUUCACUACGACCUCCACGACCCAAACCACUCCAUUCCUCCUCUAUUCCCACUUGACAAACAUAUGGAUCAUUACAUCCUGUCUUUACCUCACUCCAAAACCAGCCAGCACAUACCUGUAAACAUUCCGUACUACCCCACGCACAACAGAUGGUGUCCCGUAAAAGUUCUUGAUGCCUACAUACAGCACCAUCACUUACUGCCCUCGCAACCGUUAUUACAACUACAAGGUGCAGUACUCACCACUACAACCUUCAUGACCUACGUCAGGUCCUUGCUCACACAACUGGGCCUCAACGCAAACAAUUACUCAGGACACUCCUUUCGUAUAGGAGCCGCGUCCACAGCCUCCAGUUUCAACGUCCCAACUCAUGUUAUCAAAAUAGCCACUCUCACUUCCUUCAUGUUAUGGUUAUAGUGCAAUUUUCUCUGAAGUGUAUUUUCAGCAAAAAAGCCAUAAAGCACAGGUCUCACAACAGCAUGGACCUUUUCUCGUGUAAAUUCAGACCCCUACAGUUAAGGGAAGUAAUUUGCAGUGGAAGCUGUGUACGUGGCAUGGCGUCUAGUUGGAAAGCAGUUUUGUAGUGAAUUAUGAAGGGUGACAUGGGGGUGGAGAGAGGAAAAAACCAAAAAACAGAUGGUGUGCUAGAAAAAGUGUGUAAAUAAACCGUGCAGUGGUAAACUAUUUACAAUAGUGUAUGAAACCUGUCUGUAUGUCCAUUAUGGUUCGCCAUCCCCGUGUACACCCUCUCCCUAUCCCUGGGGAGAUAGUUUGAGCUUCAGACACCCUCUGGUGGUAAGUGGCUUGGCAGCCCCUAGAACAUCCAACGUGAAAGGCUGGUCAAUAUGUAAUCCAGUCUUCCUUCCUGAUAAUUCUCUAUAUGCUUAUUUAGCUUCUAUCCUGUUUGUUUAUAGUUUUCGUUAUGGUGACAUAACAACAAAUUUUUCCUUUUCUCUCUUUUCCUUUUCCCUCACUCUCCCCUUCCCUCCUCCUCUCUCUCCAUUUAUAUAAAAAUAGUUCCCCCNNNNNNNNNNNNNNNNNNNNNNNNNNNNNNNNNNNNNNNNNNNNNNNNNNNNNNNNNNNNNNNNNNNNNNNNNNNNNNNNNNNNNNNNNNNNNNNNNNNNGGAGAGAAAGCUGUACACAUUUUAUUUGGUAUGCUUUCCUAAAGAAAUAAGUUUCCAAAGAUUCCUUGAAGGAAUGGAGAUUGGGUGAAAGUCUAACAGAGAUGGGAAGGGCAUUCCAUAGGAAAGGUGCAGCCCUCAAGAAGUCUUGAAGGCGAGCAUCAGAGGUAGGAGUACUAACAGAGGUUAGACGUAGGUCUCCGGCAGAGCGUAGGGGCCUAGAUGGGACAUAUUUGUGUAUUAGUGAGGAUAAGUAGGUCGGAGAAGCAUUGUAUAGUGAUUUGUAAGCAAGUAUCAAGCUAUUAAAUUGAGUCUUAUAUCUUACGAGAAGCCAAUGUAAGGACUGACAAAGUAAGAGGCGUGGGAGGUGUGGGCGGACAGGAAGAUGAGCCUCGCCAUCACAUUCAUUAUAGACUGUAAUUGGGGCAAGAUGGGAACACGCAAGACCAUUGCUAAGUUGAUUACAGUAGUCAAGGCGAAAGAGGACAGCGGCAUGGACAAGCACCUUUGCCGUAUCAGGUGUUAAAUAGGGUUUGAUGCUCGCAAUGUUUUUGAGAUGGAAGCGGAAGCAUUUGGUGAUUGAUUGGACAUGAGGGAAUGAAGGAGAGGUCGGAGUCAAAAAGAACACCUAGGCAGCGAGUCUGAGCGGUAGAGCAAGUUGAGGAAACAGGUGGUGAGGCGGGAGGAAUGGAAAUUAUAUGAUAUGUGUCAUGCAACAAAUGAGAAAAAUUGAAAUUGCAGUUGAACACGGUAAAAUGACAGAAUAGCGCCAUUGACUUGGAGGGACACAGACAAGGGAGUAGCAACACUUGAGUUAGGGAAGACCAGAAGUUCUGUUUUGGACAGAAUCAUUUUAAGGAAAUGAGCAGCCAUCCAGUUGGAAAUAGCAGAGAGGCAUUUAGAGACAAGAGUCAAAAGAAAUCAUGGAGGACAGAUAAAUGUGCAUGUCAUUUGCAUAUACAUGAUAUUGGGACAUGAAGAAGCUGAUGAGUUCAUGAAGGGAGGCAGUGUAGAUUGAGAACAAUAGGGGACCAAGGGCUGACCCUUGGGGAACACCAACAGAGAGGGAUUGGGGAGAAGAGGCAGAGCCAGAGAAAACAACAAAAAAUACUGAAUGAAAGGUAGGAAGAGCACCAGAAGAGGUCAGUAUCUUGUAGACCGAGAUUAUGGAGGAUGAGAAGAAGCUGUUAAUGAUCAACGGUGGAUUCGAAGAAGUCUGUCAAUCUUGCAUAGACAACUCUCUCAAGGAUCUUGGAGACAAACGGCAGUAGCGAGAUAGGGCGAUAGUUGGACAGGGAAUUAAGGUCAAGGUUGGGCUUUUCCAGAAUCAGUGUUACUGUUGCAAAGGGUAGAGGAAAUGUGCCAGAGGAGAGGGAGAGAUUGAAAGUUUUAGUGAGGGGCAGAGUAAGAGAAGGAGACAAAGUACGGAUGAGAUACGAGGGAAUAGGAUCGAGGAAACGGGUGGUGGGGUGGGAGGAACGGAAUUUAUAUGAUAUGAGUCAUGCAACAAAUGAGAAAAAUGGAAAUUGUGAUUGAACACGGCAAAAUGGCAGAAUUGCUUGUGGUCUUACGUGAAAGGCAAGCAUCUGAAGCGGUGUCCUUAGGGGGUAAAGCUAAUUUUGUAUAUUUAACGUAAUUUAUGUGGCUUGAAUAAAUGUGUUUUGCUUACCUCUCUUUCUCACGUGUUUCAGACCUACGCAAUACAUCUGUAUUUGGCACAUCAACCCCAAUUCUUAUAAUUUAUUAUAUACCCUUAAUCCUACGUCUUUUACACUAGCAGGAGACCCUGAAAUAGUAUAUUUCUGACCAGAAAUAGUAAAUCUUUAAAAACCACUUGUGGUAGGAGGGGUUUUCAAUGAAGACUUUUUUUCCUCCACGUGCAAAAUGCAGCCAGAUCUUUCUAACCUUUCUCCUUCGCUUUUCCAACUAUUUACCCUCUUUCAUGCCUACACAUAAUAUCCUCAUUUGGUACACUACAAACUGAUCUCACCACUUACUCUAUCUCCUUACUUUUGUAUAGAUUUUGUAAGGUUUAAAAUACCUUUUUUUAUGUUCAUGUACAUGUUAAUUAUAUAUUUGAAUAUUCUAUUAUUAAAUAAAAGACAACAUUCAGGCCUUGUUUAAAAACACACACAUACAAAAAGCACACUUUAAUUUUAUAAGAAACUUUUAAUAGUAGGGUAUAGUAGAUAAUACUACAAUUUUAUUGUUCUUACUGUAAAAAUCAUGACUACAUUCCUCUACUGUAAACAAAAAUGAAUUUUAAUGGAUGACCUCUUGACUGUUGUAUAUUCCUGUUAAACUGAUUAACACCUAGCAGUUUUUUUUUUGUUUUUUUGUUUUUUUUUUACUAACUUUGUAUUGAUUUGUUUAGAUUACUUUCUUUAACCUUAAUACAAUGUCUCCAACAAUGGGAGGUAUGAAAUCGGGAUGGAGUGGGUGGGGCUUUGGGGUGUUCUCAAUUAUGCGAUCCAUAUCACUGACAAUUUCAUAAUGGGUAGGCCCAUCAAGAAAACUGGUGGGUCCACUUAUUGACAACCUCCCAGCCAGAAUCCAGCCUUCAAGUCCUAGUGCCCACUGCAAAGCAUGCACGUAUCUAGUGAUGUGCUUGUGAUGUGCUGCCCUGGGACAGUUCCCUGGUGUCCCCAGAGGUGGGACACCAGAGAACCAAAGAGGGUUGGUGGGACAUCUGAAAUCAGGACUGUCCUGCCAAAAGUGGGGCUAUUGGAAAGCCUGCAACGUGUAUGAAGAUAACAUUUUUGGGAUUUAAAUUCUGGUUCUAAUUAAUUAUUCUAUGGCCUCAUUUCAUGAUAGAUGAAAGAAGAUCUACAAGGAAGACUUCAACAGGGAAACAUGAAAAGGUUUUCAUUUUAUUAGCUUAUACUAUUUCAUUAAUGAGAGUAUGGGGGGAAUCGGUCAAUUGCAACCCUGUCCCAAUAGUUUAGGAAGGCUUGCAAAAGGGAUGUACAGCCUCAAACAAUAUCUGAAGGAUAAAACAGUGAAAGUUCAUUGGAAUGUCUGUUACCACAGUCCUUAUGGAGUAAGGGAGCAGGCAUUAAUUGUGCAGAGCCUCUUGUAGCCUGGCACUGUGGGAAUUUUCUGCAUGGGCUAGUGGUCUCUGCUCUUAAUGCUCUCCAGGCCUGGGUCUGAUUAGAAUAGGUAUGUAUGGUGUCCCUGGAGGAGUUUGCAAGUGACAGCAGGGAGAGAUAAUGUGUUAGAGGGUUUAUAAUAGUUGUCAUACGGGACAAAUGAGUCAUGCAAUAUCUUUGUGAAUGUUCUGUAACAGUGUUUAGACUAUAAUAAUAGGGGUUGUAGGGAUAUAUAAUGUCACAAUUUGCAACUCCAGCAGCCACAAUCCAUACAUAGCAUGAUCCAUGUGAAUAGGAACAUCUAAUCAGAUCUGUGAAUUCUCAGAGGAUAAACAUAUAUACUUGAUUUGGAUUGUUUGUUAAUCUUGGGUUGAUCCAAGAAAACAGGAGUGGAGGAGGUUAAGGCAAUAGUUGAAAACAUGACAUACCCAAUGUUUUACUAUUGGAAUGGCCAGAGAGAUUGAGUCUUUUGGAUACACAAGCUGGACAUCCUAUUCCACCAUGCUAUGGUGUUAAUUUGUGUUCAUUUGUUUUAGCUAUUAGCUAUUAUUUACAAGAUAUUGACAUUGAAAUGAAUCAGACCCUCGGUGAUUGAUCCUGACAUGAAAUGUAUUGUUGCAUAUUCAUGAAACAUAUUUUAUAUAUAUUUUUUAAAUUUUAAAUUCAUUCUAAAAUAAGUCAUGACAAAAGAGCAACUAAUAUACAGAACUUGGAUCUAUUAAUUGUAAUGUUAAUGUUUAAACAAUACAAAUUCAUAUGUUGGCAAACACAUAUAUUUUUAUAUAUGUUUUAUUCUAAUAUAUAAAAUGUAAUAUUGGAGUGUCACCUGGAUACCAAAAGAAUUCGAUAUCCAAAUUGAAUCUCGCUGGAACAGAACACAUAUUGAGAGAGUUAAAUGUUGGACAGUUAUGAAAGUAAUAGGGUAGGUAAGGUGCGACAAAGCAGGAGGAUUGCUUAGUUCAGAUGGCCAAGAUCUUAGGGGAGAUGGGUGGGGUAGAUUAUUGCCCUGUUGUGAUUAUAUGGCAACAGUGUGUGAAUUGUAAUUUCAUUAGGCCCAGCUAUCCUUGAAUAGAAUUGUAAUAAACACUGAACUAUCAAGCACUUACAUUUUAGCUGAGGUUGUAAAGACUGCAAACAGGUGUAGCAUGCAAUUUGCACAGCACUGCUAUGAUGUUUGUAUAUAGACCUAUAGUAUAAUUGGGCCACUACCCCAAAUGUAGUCGAGAUAAAUAAAUAAUUACUCACUUUAGCUCCAUUGUGCGGUCAGACAUCCCAGGUGCCAGUGGCUCUAGUUCCUCAAUUUAUUGCAUACCACAAACUUCAAACCCAAUCCCCUUCUUAGGAUUUCCACAAGACUAAAUAAAGUGCAAAGAAAAUCCAUCAAGUCUGUUGAUUUAUUGUAGCAAAAUAUAAAUAGACCGAAAUACAAAACAUAUAAAAUUAGCAAGGCAAUACAAUAUAAUUAGCCAAUCUCUUGGGAGGUAUGAGAUUGGAACAUUUUGGUGGGUCUGGAGGGGAGGACUUCACAGCAUUGUGACUCUAUAUAGUAAUGGCAUAAAUAAUAGAUUUUAUUAAUCAUUACCACGUAAACGAAAUAAUUUCAGAAUUUGCCUUGUUAUGACAAGGUUUCAAAUGUAAUCCUCACUAAUCCCUGGAAGAAAAUGUAUUAGAACAGGUGAAUACUUUAUAAUCUCUUUUUUUUCUCUAUUCCAUUACUUCUUCAUAGUUGACAUAUAUUUUCCAAACCAUUUCCUUUAAUCAAUUUAUUUACGUGUAUGGCUGUUUUUUGUUUUUUUCUAACACCUAUGAUUUGCAUUUAAGUUUAAUUAAGUGAGCUAAUUACUAAUGAGUUAUUAUUUAUUUAUUUUAAAAUCUGUUAUCAGUGAUGAUUAAUUGUUUUCAUUAAUGUAGACUGAAAUAACAUGGAAUAUUAAGAGAAAAUUAUAGUUAAAAAAUUAUAGUUAAAAUACACAUUUUCUCUUCUACAAAUACUUUAACAUUCAUAAAUACAUUUGUAAUCUUUGCCUCUGAAUUUCCUUAUGCUUUUAUAUGGCAAGAUCAUCAGGAUUUUUCACUAAAGUGAGUAUUGUAAAGAAGGCAAGUGGAUUUUAUUAAAGACACAGAGGCUCCUAUUAUGCAUAUCUCUUUCUCAGCAACUAAGAUAGAGAAAUAUAAAUAUAUCAAAAUGAAAGAAAAAACUGAAUAGGCGCACAGGCAACCAAUCACAUAACAGAGGAACUGACUAUAAAAGGCCUGUGUCUCCUACAAUCCCCCUCUUUCUUUGCUGCUCUCAGACCAGUUAAGUACUCAUUUGCUCAACUCUAUGUCUAAUGUAUAAUUUAUUGAAUUUCUUUAAUUGUGUAUCUUAUUAUAUGUUUUAUUGUGCUGUUUGGGGCUUUUACUUACCUUUGCCCUAUCCUGUGCCUGGGUGGUGUGCCCCCGCUGGGUUUUCUCCCUUGCUGUCUGGUCAGGCUUUCCCUGCCGUUCUCCUCCCUCACCCACCUCCUGGUGGGUGGCCAAGUGCGGUCGGAGAGGCACUUGCGAGCCUCCGCUCCUAACAGCGGUGGCUCCCUGGGUGCAGACGGGUCGGGCCGCAUUGGUACUGUGCACGCGUCCCUCCCCUGCAGUUUUGCUAUACACAAGGUGCUCCACUGCCUCGUGCGGCGGCCAUCUUGGAUCGGGGUUUGCCGCAAUUUUACCGCGGGCUUACUGGGUUCCCUCUCCUCUUACCCGGCCGUCCUCCCCUUACCCGUCAGCCUCUGAGGGGUUUUUUCCUGGGCACACCACCGUUCAGGUACUCUGUUUGCUGUUAUAUAUAUUGCCUAAUUAACCGUUUUUUCUCCUGUGGGUUACUCAACCCUGUUCUGCUAGGUUUAUACUUUUAAUUUUCUUGUUGUGCAUCAGCGUACAUUUUAAAGAUUUUCUCAUGCUAUCUCCCUGUUUGUGCAUUUGUACUUUGCCAUCUAUAGUGAUAGGAAUUGAAUGGAUGUGUCCAGAUCACAUGGGUUUUUUUAAUUUACAAGUUAACUUUCUUACCAGAGGGACCUGAUCUUGCUAUAUAGUUCUGACUGUUUAUUUUAUUUAUUUUAAUAAAUUAUAUAUUCUCCUUAGAUCUAUAUGUGUUAUUGCAGGCUUGCAAGUCUGUUUUUGUCGAAUAGACAAUACAUUUUCAUUUUAUAUACUAACCCUUCUUGCUAUGCAGACUGAGGGUGAUGGGCCUGACGGCCGAUUUAAUGAUUUUUCCUCAGGGGCAACUGAGGAGACUGUGACCCCUGGGAGCUUUUGUCAGACCUUACUAGUCUCCAAUAUGGCAUAGUCCAUGCCAUAAAUUUUUACCUCAACCCUGGGAGCGGAGUCGCCUUCGCUUUCCCCAUUUUUUUGACGCAAGCUCCCUUAGUGCCCCCUGCGGCUACCCCUACUCUACUGGGUAUGGGACCCCCCCCUUCUGCCCCGUAAGGCUACGGCAAAGGCUUAUCACCUUAUCUCCCACUCAUUAAUGCAGGUCCUGCCUGCUAUGACGGACUUGCUGAGGCGGUCAAAGAUGGCGUGCUCCCACCGCGCAUAAGAGCCCCUGGUCGGGCAAAAAAGACCAAACUGUGGAUACGGGCUAGACCCCGUACUGAGAGGUUGGUUACCGACUGGAGUGAGGAGAAGGAUUAUGUGGUUAUGGUAGGUGCCUUCCCAUGGCGAGGUUUGGUUCAGGGGAGGUUGUUUCCCCUCCCCCCCCGCCAUGGCGACCCUUACUAGGGCUACUGCCCCGUUCAGGUACUCCCGCUCAGGUGGGUGUUUGGGAUCUGAACCCUUUUGUGUCCUCUGGGUAUUCUGUUUCUUUAAGGAAUCGGGCUGGUAACCUCGAUAGCUCUGGGCUUCUCCGUGGAGCAUUUCAGAAUUUACUUAUGGAAGCGCUGGGUCCCCCACCCCCCAUUUUUUCUGUACAAAGUGUAUGUUCUACUUGAUUCCGCUACGGCGGGGAAUCUGAACGGCCGGGUGCAUCACCUAUUGGCACUAUUGGCAAGAUUACUAUGGCCGUAACGGCCGAACGCCAUAAGGCGAUGCUUUUGAAGGUUGACCCAGAUGGCGAAUAUGGCCAUCUCUGAACCGGUCCCUCAGCUGAAGGGAGGCUGUUCAGGUGCAAACUUUUGUCUAGGAACUGGGGUUCUACGUGAAGACAUUCACAGCGAUUGAUAAGCCCCAAGAAAAUAGAAAUGUUUUUUUUCUCCUUGGUUUUGAUGGGGCCGGGCGUGACCGGAGUCACCCCUCUGGCCGUGAUUUACGGGACUCAUUCCAAACACGCCAAAGCUCCUUCCCCCCUAUGCGGGAUUUCCAUGAACUCUAGCCUCCACACUCCUCCCCAUCAAGAGGGAGAAUAUAUUAAAUCACUGCCACCCCCUUGGUAACACGUCGGGCGGAUACCCUUCUGGUGGAUACCCAUUAUUCCCCUCCUCCUCAAGGAUGGGUGGCGGGCAGGUUUGGACUACGGAUGGACUGCCUUGACUAUAGGCUCAUGGUUUCUCCAAGCGGUGUGGGGCUACCGUAAAACAGAAGAAAUACAAUUUAUGGCGCUAAAAUGAAUAGCAGCUAGAACACACUAGUGGGUACAAUCACAAUAAUCCCACAAAAACAACAGUGUACAAAACAGAAAAAGUGUGCAGCGCAUGAACCAAACCCACAAAUCUUAUAGGAGUAUAAACACAAUCAGUACAUAAAAAUACAAAGAGAGAUAAAUACCCCAGUAUUUUAAGAUCUUUAAGGGUCAUACGUUUUGGUCAAAUCCCAUAUGGAAACUGGUUCAAGUAGUAUCACUUUAAAAUGUCUCAGGUCAAAUCUUGAAAUUACUCUCAGGGAUGUAGCUUGAUCCUCAGAAUAUAGAAAUGGUUGGACAAGCAAACAUCAAAUUAAAAGAGUAUAAAAAGCACAUUUAUUAUAAGUAAAUAAAAACCUUACAUUGAGGUCUUGUAAAAUCAGCAAAGAAAAAACAGCAUAAAUAGCAGCACAACGCGUUUCAACGAUCAAUCUCGUCUUCCUCAGGUGCAGUUCACAUUGUUACAUAAAAUUCAUACAUUUAAAAGCCUUUUGGCGCGGAAAAUCGGGUAUUUAGGACCCGCCCCCUUUGCCAUCGGACCAAUCAGCAAAGACUAAAUGGUUUCCUCUUCACAGUCUGUGAUUUCCGGAUCUAUGCGUUCCAUUCCUUUUACUUCCGGUAUCGCAUGCGUUCCAAUAUGCGUUUCACAGGGGGCACUUCCGGUUUCGCUUGCGGUCCGGUUUUUCCAGCGAAAAAAUUCUAUAUCAAGUUCAUAUGGCUACUAAACCUCAAGUCCACAUAAAAAUAAUGUACAUGUGUACAUAGAUGCUCAUAUAUAUGUGUACAAAACAUGUACAUAAAAAACAGGAAAAUAAAAUAAAAAACCAAAAGUUAAUAAUAGCCACAGAUAACUCAUUAUAUCUAUAUAUACAGAUACAUAAUAAAAGAGUGAGGUGGAACCAAUAAGAGUGUAUUCACCAGGUGAAGAGUGUGUAGAGAAUUAGAUAUAAUUGUACAUUUCAAAAUCAAUGUUUAAACCACAUGGAGAGAGGGUUUCCAGCUCAAAGAUCCAUUUCAUUUCUGUUCUAUUCAGGAUCUUGAGGUGGUCCCCCCCUCUCCAUGGUUUUUGAACCUUUUGGAUUCCCAGGAAAUGUAAACAUUUGGUGUCCCCAUUAUGUUUUUGAUAGACAUGUGCUGAUACUGAAUGAUUAAGAACUCCCUUUUGUACAUUCCUAAGAUGUUCACAGAUCCUGACUUUUAGGGGUCUAGUGGUACGCCCUAUGUACUGCAGUCCACAGAUACAUGUUAAUAAAUAAAUAACAUUGUUUGAAUUACAUGUUAUAAAAUCUUUAACUGUAUAUUCUUUUUGUGUUUUACUUGAAAUAAAUUUCUCAGUUUUUUUAUUUAUGAUUUUACUCAUACUACACGCCCUACAAUUCCCACAGUUAAAAAAUCCUUGUAAUUUUUUUCCUUGUAAAUCAUUAUCUUUGAGGGGUCUUUUGGGGAUAUAACUCCUAGUCAAUAUAUCUUUAAAAUUAUUGGCGCCUCUAUAAGUUAUUUUCGGCUUUUCUCCUAUAAAUUCACUAAGAUCUUCAUUUUGUUUAAGAAUAUACCAAUGUUUUUUUAAAACUUUAUGAAAAAUAUGACUCUGUGAGUUAUAGUCACAAAUAAAAGACACUUGUUUCGUUUGUGUGCAUUCUUUUCUCUUUUUAUACAUUAAUAAAUCUUUUCUGGGCUUAGUUAAAACUUCCUCCAAUUGUGCCUCUACAUCAACUUUUUUGUAACCUUUCUGAUAAAAUUGUUCUUUUAACAUAUCAGUUUGUUCUAAAAAUGUUUUUUCUUCCGUGCAGUUCCUUUUUAUUCUCAUAAAUUGGCUUUUAGGGAUAUUUGAAAGCCAAGAUUUAAAGUGACAACUCUCACUGUUGAUGUAACUAUUGACAUCAACAGUUUUAAAAAAAGUACUAGUCUUAACAACUCCAUUGUCAAUGAAAAUCUUUAAAUCUAGGAAGUGUACUUCUUGAUUGCUUAUUUCCGAGGUAAGCUUAAUACCCCAAGAAUUAGAGUUUAGAAAGAUUAAAAAGUUAUCCAGUGAUGUCUUACUUCCCUUCCAUAUUAAAAAGAUAUCGUCUAUGUACCGCCUAUAGAGGACCAAGUUCGCCACCCAGUCAUGUUCAGCAUAUAUAUAGGAUUCUUCCCAAAAUGCCAUGAAAAGAUUAGCAUAACUGGGCGCGAACUUGGUCCCCAUGGCGGUACCUCUCUUCUGAAUAUAAAAGUCCCCCUCAAACCAAAAGAAGUUGUUUUGUAGGAUAAUUUCAAUGCCCUCAAUAAUAAAUUUAAUCUGUUCUCCUUUGAAUGCAUUUGAUGUUUUCAGGAAAUAUUCCACCGCCUUACAUCCUUUUUGAUGUUCAAUGACUGUGUAAAGGCUACUGACAUCGCUAGUAACGAGAAAGUAAUCCUCUUUCCAGUCUAUUUUUUGUAAAAUCUGAAGGAGAUUAAUGGAAUCUUUCAAAUAAGCUCUAGUUUUAAUAACAAGGGGUUGUAAGAGAAUAUCAAUAUAUUGUGACAGGGGUGAUAACAAAGAGUCAACCCCUGCCACAAUUGGUCUCCCUGGAGGUUGUACAGGAUCCUUGUGGAUUUUGGGGAGAAUAUAGAUCACAGGGAUAAUGGUAUGUUCUUUAUUAAGAAACCCAUAUUCAUCUCUAGUCAAAAUUCCCUGCUGUAAACCUUGAUCCAAAUAUUUGACUAAUUUCUUCUUAAUAUUCUGUUCUGGAUUAUUCUUAAGCAUUCCAUAUGUUUCUUCGUCCUUCAACUGUCUAAAGAUUUCUUCCACAUAGAAUGCCUGGUUCAUAAUAACAACCCCUCCCCCCUUAUCUGCGGGUUUAAUGAUGAUACUAUCAUCUUUACUAAGAUCUUCAAGGGCUUUUUUCUCUCCCCAUGUGAGAUUAAAUUCAAAUUUGGAAAGUGGUUUGAUUUUUUUGAGAUCAUUAAUACACGCCUGUUCGAAUGCCUUCAUACUCGAUGUUUUAAGUUGGUAUGGGAAAAAUGACGAGGUCGGUUUUAAAGUGGUAUGAUUAAAUUCAGCUACUUCUUCUGGUUUUAUCUCCUUCCUCUCUUUUUUCUGAAAAAAUUUUUUAAGGCAAAGUUUCCUCAUAUAUCGAUUGAAAUCUAUAAAUGUAUCGAAUUUGUUGAUAUUACAGCUAGGUGCGAAUUUAAAUCCUUUUGUAAGCACUUUUAUGUGAUCCUUAUUUAGGCAUUUAUUCGACAAAUUAAAUAUUUUUAUAGAUUCCAUUUCUUUAGAAUUAUCGUCAAUAGUUACUAAUCUCUCAAUCUUCUUCUUUCUCUUUCCUCCUCUGGUUCCUCUUCCAUACGUCGCCUUUUUAAAGGGGAAUGUUGAGUUUUUGCAAAUGUAGUGUGAGUGUUGGGGGUUCCUAAAAAAACUCUUUCAUCGUUAUUUCUAAGUGGUUCAUAUCUAUUCUUCUGGAUGUAUGAUCUCUCUGUUAGUGUGUUUUUAGGGAAGUUUGAUCUAGAUUGUGGCACAUAUGUGUUUGGUGUUCUGGGGUUUCUAUAGUGUCUAGGUGUCUGAUUGGAAUUUUUCCUCCCUCUCUUAACCUCUAUCCAUUGAUUUUUGUUUGUCUCUUCCCUAUAUUUAUAGGGCUUUGUAUGAUAUUGUCUCGGGGCAUCUCUAUUAAUCCACUGAUUAGAAGGCUCUUGAUUAUUUCUAGUUGUAAAGUUCCUUUGUCUAUCAGGUCUAUGAACAUCUUUUUUUGGUUGAUUUGAUGCUUUUCUAACAUUACCUCUUUUGUAAUCAUCUAAAUCACGUAUAUACUUCUUUUGUUUAAUUUGUAGGGUGUCUUUUUCAAUUUUAUCCAAAUUUUUAUUCAUUUGGAUAGAUAUAUCUUCAAAAUCCUUAGUAUUAGAAAGUGGUUCUAACUUAUCUUUUAUACUCUUAAUAGCUGUAUCCAAUUUUUUAAGGGUUAUUGUUCUUUGAUCGAUUAUAAUUCUAAUCAUAGUGGUUGAAAAGGAUUCAAGGGCAUUAUUCCAAAUGCCCAUGAAUCUACUAUCAUCUCUGUCAAAUGUAGGAGUUUUAUGGAAUCUAAGACCUCUGGGUGUAAUCUCCUCCUUGAGGUAUUUUUCCAUAGUAAAAACUUCCCAUUUUAUUCUUAACUCUCUGCUUAAUAGUUUCUCUAAUUCUUCGCACAGAGUGUCUAGAUUGUCAGUUUCAUUAACUGUAAAUUGGUCAUCAGCCAAAAUUUGAUUAAAUUUUUUGUUAAUAUUCUCCAUCCACCCAUCUCUCCUUUCAAAUAUAUUCAUAAUUUGGAGGGGGGUACGAGGGAACAAGCAGCCCAAAUUGUACUAGUGAUUGGAGGUACAACAGUAAAACAGAAGAAAUACAAUUUAUGGCGCUAAAAUGAAUAGCAGCUAGAACACACUAGUGGGUACAAUCACAAUAAUCCCACAAAAACAACAGUGUACAAAACAGAAAAAGUGUGCAGCGCAUGAACCAAACCCACAAAUCUUAUAGGAGUAUAAACACAAUCAGUACAUAAAAAUACAAAGAGAGAUAAAUACCCCAGUAUUUUAAGAUCUUUAAGGGUCAUACGUUUUGGUCAGAUCCCAUAUAGAAACUGGUUCAAGUAGUAUCACUUUAAAAUGUCUCAGGUCAAAUCUUGAAGUUACUCUCAGGGAUGUAGCUUGAUCCUCAGAAUAUGGAAAUGGUUGGACAAGCAAACAUCAAAUUAAAAGAGUAUAAAAAGCACAUUUAUUAUAAGUAAAUAAAAACCUUACAUUGAGGUCUUGUAAAAUCAGCAAAGAAAUAACAGCAUAAAUAGCAGCACAACGCGUUUCAACGAUCAAUCUCGUCUUCCUCAGGUGCAGUUCACAUUGUUACAUAAAAUUCAUACAUUUAAAAGCCUUUUGGCGCGGAAAAUCGGGUAUUUAGGACCCGCCCCCUUUGCCAUCGGACCAAUCAGCAAAGACUAAAUGGUUUCCUCUUCACAGUCUGUGAUUUCCGGAUCUAUGCGUUCCAUUCCUUUUACUUCCGGUAUCGCAUGCGUUCCAAUAUGCGUUUCACAGGGGGCACUUCCGGUUUCGCUUGCGGUCCGGUUUUUCCAGCGAAAAAAUUCUAUAUCAAGUUCAUAUGGCUACUAAACCUCAAGUCCACAUAAAAAUAAUGUACAUGUGUACAUAGAUGCUCAUAUAUAUGUGUACAAAACAUGUACAUAGAAAACAGGGAAAUAAAAUAGAAAACCAAAAGUUAAUAAUAGCCACAGAUAACUCAUUAUAUCUAUAUAUACAGAUACAUAAUAAAAGAGUGAGGUGGAACCAAUAAGAGUGUGUUCACCAGGUGAAGAGUGUGUAGAGAAUUAGAUAUAAUUGUACAUUUCAAAAUCAAUGUUUAAACCACAUGGAGAGAGGGUUUCCAGCUCAAAGAUCCAUUUCAUUUCUGUUCUAUUCAGGAUCUUGAGGUGGUCCCCCCCUCUCCAUGGUUUUUGAACCUUUUGGAUUCCCAGGAAAUGUAAACAUUUGGUGUCCCCAUUAUGUUUUUGAUAGACAUGUGCUGAUACUGAAUGAUUAAGAACUCCCUUUUGUACAUUCCUAAGAUGUUCACAGAUCCUGACUUUUAGGGGUCUAGUGGUACGCCCUAUGUACUGCAGUCCACAGAUACAUGUUAAUAAAUAAAUAACAUUGUUUGAAUUACAUGUUAUAAAAUCUUUAACUGUAUAUUCUUUUUGUGUUUUACUUGAAAUAAAUUUCUCAGUUUUUUUAUUUAUGAUUUUACUCAUACUACACGCCCUACAAUUCCCACAGUUAAAAAAUCCUUGUAAUUUUUUUCCUUGUAAAUCAUUAUCUUUGAGGGGUCUUUUGGGGAUAUAACUCCUAGUCAAUAUAUCUUUAAAAUUAUUGGCGCCUCUAUAAGUUAUUUUCGGCUUUUCUCCUAUAAAUUCACUAAGAUCUUCAUUUUGUUUAAGAAUAUACCAAUGUUUUUUUAAAACUUUAUGAAAAAUAUGACUCUGUGAGUUAUAGUCACAAAUAAAAGACACUUGUUUCGUUUGUGUGCAUUCUUUUCUCUUUUUAUACAUUAAUAAAUCUUUUCUGGGCUUAGUUAAAACUUCCUCCAAUUGUGCCUCUACAUCAACUUUUUUGUAACCUUUCUGAUAAAAUUGUUCUUUUAACAUAUCAGUUUGUUCUAAAAAUGUUUUUUCUUCCGUGCAGUUCCUUUUUAUUCUCAUAAAUUGGCUUUUAGGGAUGUUUGAAAGCCAAGAUUUAAAGUGACAACUCUCACUGUUGAUGUAACUAUUGACAUCAACAGUUUUAAAAAAAGUACUAGUCUUAACAACUCCAUUGUCAAUGAAAAUCUUUAAAUCUAGGAAGUGUACUUCUUGAUUGCUUAUUUCCGAGGUAAGCUUAAUACCCCAAGAAUUAGAAUUUAGAAAAAUUAAAAAGUUAUCCAGUGAUGUCUUACUUCCCUUCCAUAUUAAAAAGAUAUCGUCUAUGUACCGCCUAUAGAGGACCAAGUUCGCCACCCAGUCAUGUUCAGCAUAUAUAUAGGAUUCUUCCCAAAAUGCCAUGAAAAGAUUAGCAUAACUGGGCGUGAACUUGGUCCCCAUGGCGGUACCUCUCUUCUGAAUAUAAAAGUCCCCCUCAAACCAAAAGAAGUUGUUUUGUAGGAUAAUUUCAAUGCCCUCAAUAAUAAAUUUAAUCUGUUCUCCUUUGAAUGCAUUUGAUGUUUUCAGGAAAUAUUCCACCGCCUUACAUCCUUUUUGAUGUUCAAUGACUGUGUAAAGGCUACUGACAUCGCUAGUAACGAGAAAGUAAUCCUCUUUCCAGUCUAUUUUUUGUAAAGUCUGAAGGAGAUUAAUGGAAUCUUUCAAAUAAGCUCUAGUUUUAAUAACAAGGGGUUGUAAGAGAAUAUCAAUAUAUUGUGACAGGGGUGAUAACAAAGAGUCAACCCCUGCCACAAUUGGUCUCCCUGGAGGUUGUACAGGAUCCUUGUGGAUUUUGGGGAGAAUAUAGAUCACAGGGAUAAUGGUAUGUUCUUUAUUAAGAAACCCAUAUUCAUCUCUAGUCAAAAUUCCCUGCUGUAAACCUUGAUCCAAAUAUUUGACUAAUUUCUUCUUAAUAUUCUGUUCUGGAUUAUUCUUAAGCAUUCCAUAUGUUUCUUCGUCCUUCAACUGUCUAAAGAUUUCUUCCACAUAGAAUGCCUGGUUCAUAAUAACAACCCCUCCCCCCUUAUCUGCGGGUUUAAUGAUGAUACUAUCAUCUUUACUAAGAUCUUCAAGGGCUUUUUUCUCUCCCCAUGUGAGAUUAAAUUCAAAUUUGGAAAGUGGUUUGAUUUUUUUGAGAUCAUUAAUACACGCCUGUUCGAAUGCCUUCAUACUCGAUGUUUUAAGUUGGUAUGGGAAAAAUGACGAGGUCGGUUUUAAAGUGGUAUGAUUAAAUUCAGCUACUUCUUCUGGUUUUAUCUCCUUCCUCUCUUUUUUCUGAAAAAAUUUUUUAAGGCAAAGUUUCCUCAUAUAUCGAUUGAAAUCCAUAAAUGUAUCGAAUUUGUUGAUAUUACAGCUAGGUGCGAAUUUAAAUCCUUUUGUAAGUACUUUUAUGUGAUCCUUAUUUAGGCAUUUAUUCGACAAAUUAAAUAUUUUUAUAGAUUCCAUUUCUUUAGGAUUAUCGUCAAUAGUUACUAAUCUCUCAAUCUUCUUCUUUCUCUUUCCUCCUCUGGUUCCUCUUCCAUACGUCGCCUUUUUAAAGGGGAAUGUUGAGUUUUUACAAAUGUAGUGUGAGUGUUGGGGGUUCCUAAAAAAACUCUUUCAUCGUUAUUUCUAAGUGGUUCAUAUCUAUUCUUCUGGAUGUAUGAUCUCUCUGUUAGUGUGUUUUUAGGGAAGUUUGAUCUAGAUUGUGGCACAUAUGUGUUUGGUGUUCUGGGGUUUCUAUAGUGUCUAGGUGUCUGAUUGGAAUUUCUCCUCCCUCUCUUAACCUCUAUCCAUUGAUUUUUAUUUGUCUCUUCCCUAUAUUUAUAGGGCUUUGUAUGAUAUUGUCUCGGGGCAUCUCUAUUAAUCCACUGAUUAGGAGGCUCUUGAUUAUUUCUAGUUGUAAAAUUCCUUUGUCUAUCAGGUCUAUGAACAUCUUUUUUUGAUUGAUUUGAUGCUUUUCUAACAUUACCUCUUUUGUAAUCAUCUAAAUCACGUAUAUACUUCUUUUGUUUAAUUUGUAGGGUGUCUUUUUCAAUUUUAUCCAAAUUUUUAUUCAUUUGGAUAGAUAUAUCUUCAAAAUCCUUAGUAUUAGAAAGUGGUUCUAACUUAUCCUUUAUACUCUUAAUAGCUGUAUCCAAUUUUUUAAGGGUUAUUGUUCUUUGAUCGAUUAUAAUUCUAAUCAUAGUGAUUGAAAAGGAUUCAAGGGCAUUAUUCCAAAUGCCCAUGAAUCUACUAUCAUCUCUGUCAAAUGUAGGAGUUUUAUGGAAUCUAAGACCUCUGGGUGUAAUCUCCUCCUUGAGGUAUUUUUCCAUAGUAAAGACUUCCCAUUUUAUUCUUAACUCUCUGCUUAAUAGUUUCUCUAAUUCUUCGCACAGAGUGUCUAGAUUGUCAGUUUCAUUAACUGUGAAUUGGUCAUCGGACAAAAUUUGAUUAAAUUUUUUGUUAAUAUUCUCCAUCCACCCAUCUCUCCUUUCAAAUAUAUUCAUAAUUUGGAGGGGGGUAUGAGGGAACAAGCAGCCCAAAUUGUACUAGUGAUUGAAAGUACAACAAUAAAACAGAAAAAAUACAAUUUAUGGCGCUAAAAUGAAUAGCAGCUAGAACACACUAGUGGGUACAAUCACAAUAAUCCCACAAAAACAACAGUGUACAAAACAGAAAAAGUGUGCAGCGCAUGAACCAAACCCACAAAUCUUAUAGGAGUAUAAGCACAAUCAGUGCAUAAAAAUACAAAGAGAGAUAAAUACCCCAGUAUUUUAAGAUCUUUAAGGGUCAUACGUUUUGGUCAGAUCCCAUAUAGAAACUGGUUCAAGUAGUAUCACUUUAAAAAUGUCUCAGGUCAAAUCUUGAAGUUACUCCCAGGGAUGUAGCUUGAUCCUCAGAAUAUGGAAAUGGUUGGACAAGCAAACAUCAAAUUAAAAGAGUAUAAAAAGCACAUAUUUCCUGAAAACAUCAAAUGCAUUCAAAGGAGAACAGAUUGAAUUUAUUAUUGAGGGCAUUGAAAUUAUCCUACAAAACAACUUCUUUUGGUUUGAGGGGGACUUUUAUAUUCAGAAGAGAGGUACCGCCAUGGGGACCAAGUUCGCGCCCAGUUAUGCUAAUCUUUUCAUGGCAUUUUGGGAAGAAUCCUACAUAUAUGCUGAACAUGACUGGGUGGCGAACUUGGUCCUCUAUAGGCGGUACAUAGACGAUAUCUUUUUAAUAUGGAAGGGAAGUAAGACAUCACUGGAUAACUUUUUAAUUUUUCUAAACUCUAAUUCUUGGGGUAUUAAGCUUACCUCGGAAAUAAGUAAUCAAGAAGUACACUUCCUAGAUUUAAAGAUUUUCAUUGACAAUGGAGUUGUUAAGACUAGUACUUUUUUUAAAACUGUUGAUGUCAAUAGUUACAUCAACAGUGAGAGUUGUCACUUUAAAUCUUGGCUUUCAAAUAUCCCUAAAAGCCAAUUUAUGAGAAUAAAAAGGAACUGCACGGAAGAAAAAACAUUUUUAGAACAAACUGAUAUGUUGAAAGAACAAUUUUAUCAGAAAGGUUACAAAAAAGUUGAUGUAGAGGCACAAUUGGAGGAAGUUUUAAUUAAGCCCAGAAAAGAUUUAUUAAUGUAUAAAAAGAGAAAAGAAUGCACACAAACGAAACAAGUGUCUUUUAUUUGUGACUAUAACUCACAGAGUCAUAUUUUUCAUAAAGUUUUAAAAAAACAUUGGCAUAUUCUUAAACAAAAUGAAGAUCUUAGUGAAUUUAUAGGAGAAAAGCCGAAAAUAACUUAUAGAGGCGCCAAUAAUUUUAAAGAUAUAUUGACUAGGAGUUAUAUUCCCAAAAGACCCCUUAAAGAUAAUGAUUUACAAGGAAAAAAAUUACAAGGGUUUUUUAACUGUGGGAACUGUAGGGCGUGUAGUAUGAGUAAAAUCAUAAAUAAAAAAACUGAGAAAUUUAUUUCAAGUAAAACACAAAAAGAAUAUACAGUUAAAGAUUUUAUAACAUGUAAUUCAAACAAUGUUAUUUAUUUAUUAACAUGUAUCUGUGGACUGCAGUACAUAGGGCGUACCACUAGACCCCUAAAAGUCAGGAUCUGUGAACAUCUUAGGAAUGUACAAAAGGGAGUUUUUAAUCAUUCAGUAUCAGCACAUGUUUAUCAAAAACAUAAUGGGGACACCAAAUGUUUACAUUUCCUGGGAAUCCAAAAGGUUCAAAAACCAUGGAGAGGGGGGGACCACCUCAAGAUCCUGAAUAGAACAGAAAUGAAAUGGAUCUUUGAGCUGGAAACCCUCUCUCCAUGUGGUUUAAACAUUGAUUUUGAAAUGUACAAUUAUAUCUAAUUCUCUACACACCUGGUGAACACAUUCUUAUUGAUUCCACCUCACUCUUUUAUUAUGUAUCUGUAUAUAUAGAUAUAAUGAGUUAUUUGUGGCUAUUAUUAACUUUUGGCUUUCUAUUUUAUUUCCCUGUUUUUCUAUGUACAUGUCUUGUACACAUAUAUAUGAGCACCUAUGUACACAUGUACAUUAUUUUUAUGUGGACUUGAGGUUUAGUAGCCAUAUGAACUUGAUAUAGAAUUUUUUCGCUGGGUAAACCGGACCGCAAGCGAAACCGGAAGUGCCCCCUGUGAAACGCAUAUUGGAACGCAUGCGAUACCGGAAGUAAAAGGAAUGGAACGCAUAGAUCCGGAAAUCACAGACUGUGAAGAGGAAACCAUUUAGUCUUUGCUGAUUGGUUCGAUGGCAAAGGGGGCGGGUCCUAAAUACCCGAUUUUCCGCGCCAAAAGGCUUUUAAAUGUAUGAAUUUUAUGUAACAAUGUGAACUGCACCUGAGGAAGACGAGAUUGAUCGUUGAAACGCGUUGUGCUGCUAUUUAUGCUGUCAUUUCUUUGCUGAUUUUACAAGACCUCAAUGCAAGGUUUUUAUUUACUUAUAAUAAAUGUGCUUUUUAUACUCUUUUAAUUUGAUGUUUGCUUGUCCAACCAUUUCCAUAUUCUGAGGAUCAAGCUACAUCCCUGGGAGUAACUUCAAGAUUUGACCUGAGACAUUUUAAAGUGAUACUACUUGAACCAGUUUCUAUAUGGGAUCUGACCAAAACGUAUGACCCUUAAAGAUCUUAAAAUACUGGGGUAUUUAUCUCUCUUUGUAUUUUUAUGCACUGAUUGUGCUUAUACUCCUAUAAGAUUUGUGGGUUUGGUUCAUGCGCUGCACACUUUUUCUGUUUUGUACACUGCCUUUUAGAACUCCCCCAUUCACAGAAUGGCGCACCAACCCUAUUGGUAUUGUCACAGGGAAAUCUUCCCAAAAACAGAGACUCAUCAUUGACUUAUCGGCUCCCCACUCAUCGGCCAACCCCAGUCUUAAUUCCCUCAUACCCUCUGAGGAAUUCUCUCUGCAAUACACCACCAUAGAUCACGCCAUUACAGCCAUCAUACAAGCAGGGGUGGGAGCCUGGCUCAGUAAGACCGACAUUACUAACGCCUUCAAAUUACUCCCUAUCCACCCCACACUGUGGCACCUGCAUGGCAUCAAGUGGUCCGAGAACUACUAUUUUUUCUCCCGGUUAACUUUUGGGUCCAAAAGUAGCCCAGCUAUUUUCGACACAUUUGCCGAAGCACUAUGCUGGUUACUAUUGAACAUAGCCGGAUGCCCUACAGUAUUACAUUACUUGGGCGAUUUCCUACUGGUCGAGGAGAAUACUGCACCUCCCACUAGCCUCAAAGCUACCACUAAGCUGUUUGAGCAACUAGGUGUACCCAUCUCCCCAAAGAAAACAGAAGGGCCAGACACGGUUAUCACUUUUCUGGGUAUCCAGUUAGACUCUGCCACAAUGCAAGCAAGCCUACCUUACGAAAAGAUAGACAAUAUUCUCACUUACAUAAACAACUACCUACAGCUCGGCACUUGCAACCGCAAAGAACUACAGUCCCUGCUGGGGUCACUAAAUUUUGCAAUGCGCAUCAUACCUCAAGGCCGCUCCUUUAUUUCACGACUAUUGCAUCUUUUCCCACUUUUUCUACAUGACACGCACAGGUUGUCCUUAGAUGCCCAAGCUACGGCAGAUCUAAACAUGUGGAAGAGGUUUUUAACCACUUGGAAUGGUAAAAGUAUGUUCCUCCCUCAAUUGACUGAAUCAUCUCCUACCAUUUGGUCAGAUGCGGCAUCUACCACUGGUUUUGCAGCAAUUUUUGGGAACGAAUGGCUUUGGGGCAGCUGGCCUUCAGCAGUUCUGGAUUUGGAAGGUUUUCCACUACCUCAGCUCUUUUUGAGAUCUACCCCAUAGUGGCGGCUGCCGUAGCGUGGGGUCAUUUAUGGGCUAAUACGCCAGUGCGUUGUUACUCAGACAACCAGGCGACCUGUCACAUCAUCAACAAAGGUCGUUCCAAAUCUCUUACGAUUAUGAGAUUUCUGAGGAAACUCACUUGGUUGGCAGCUUGUCAUAAUUUCUUCCUAUGUUGUUUCCAUGUGCCAGGUGUAUACAACACAGCUGCUGACAGUUUGUCUCGCUUUAAAUUUCAGGAGUUUCAUCAAGCACUCCCGUCAGCAGCACCCACAGCCACCAUCACUCCAACAUUUCAACAACUCAUACUGGACUAGACGUCAUCAUGCAGCAUAGCAGGACAUUGUCUCAGUUGGCACUUUCACACAAUACAAACAAAACAUACAACAGGGCUUUCACACUAUUCAAACGAUUCCUUCUGGAACAUAACAUCAUACAACCGUUUGUUAUGACAUCUUUUUGGGGUUUGCUUCCUUUUGCCACCUUAAACUCAAAUUGUCAUAUAACACCAUCAAACUCUAUCUCACUGGCAUUCAACACCACAUGCUCAUCUUACACCCAAAUAACAACAGUUUCAUGGCCUCUCACCAAAUUAAGACCAUACUCAGAGGUAUUCAAAAAUCAGAACCCACACAUUUGGCCCAGAGGCUACCCAUAGAUAACCAUAUCUUCAAAGCUUUAUCUAACCUACUCGACCUGAAACCGUUUGACACUAAUACGAAUUCUAUCAUCAAAACAGCAAUAUACAUCGCUUUCUAUGGAUUUCUACGACCCAGAGAAUUCACUACGACCUCCACGACCCAAACCACUCCAUUCCUCCUCUAUUCCCACUUGACAAAACAUAUGGAUCAUUACAUCCUGUCUUUACCUCACUCCAAAACCAGCCAGCACAUACCUGUAAACAUUCCGUACUACCCCACGCACAACAGAUGGUGUCCCGUAAAAGUUCUUGAUGCCUACAUACAGCACCAUCACUUACUGCCCUCGCAACCGUUAUUACAACUACAAGGUGCAGUACUCACCACUACAACCUUCAUGACCUACGUCAGGUCCUUGCUCACACAACUGGGCCUCAACGCAAACAAUUACUCAGGACACUCCUUUCGUAUAGGAGCCGCGUCCACAGCCUCCAGUUUCAACGUCCCAACUCAUGUUAUCAAAAUAGCCACUCUCACUUCCUUCAUGUUAUGGUUAUAGUGCAAUUUUCUCUGAAGUGUAUUUUCAGCAAAAAAGCCAUAAAGCACAGGUCUCACAACAGCAUGGACCUUUUCUCGUGUAAAUUCAGACCCCUACAGUUAAGGGAAGUAAUUUGCAGUGGAAGCUGUGUACGUGGCAUGGCGUCUAGUUGGAAAGCAGUUUUGUAGUGAAUUAUGAAGGGUGACAUGGGGGUGGAGAGAGGAAAAAACCAAAAAACAGAUGGUGUGCUAGAAAAAGUGUGUAAAUAAACCGUGCAGUGGUAAACUAUUUACAAUAGUGUAUGAAACCUGUCUGUAUGUCCAUUAUGGUUCGCCAUCCCCGUGUACACCCUCUCCCUAUCCCUGGGGAGAUAGUUUGAGCUUCAGACACCCUCUGGUGGUAAGUGGCUUGGCAGCCCCUAGAACAUCCAACGUGAAAGGCUGGUCAAUAUGUAAUCCAGUCUUCCUUCCUGAUAAUUCUCUAUAUGCUUAUUUAGCUUCUAUCCUGUUUGUUUAUAGUUUUCGUUAUGGUGACAUAACAACAAAUUUUUCCUUUUCUCUCUUUUCCUUUUCCCUCACUCUCCCCUUCCCUCCUCCUCUCUCUCCAUUUAUAUAAAAAUAGUUCCCCCCUAACCUUCUCUUUAUAGAGAGGUGUUCUCUUCCCUCCCCCCUUUUCCUCACACCUCAUUGCUUCUCCCUACACCACUACAUCCAUAUGUGUGGCCUGAAAAAACAGAGCUGCCAUGCACCAACUCAAGCCAACCCCUCCUUCAUCAGUCCCUUGCAAAUUGUGUAAUCAUGUGGGAGCUUAGAGUCCCUAUAGCCAUCGUUGCUGUAGUGUGUAGCCUGACAGCUAAGUCUCCCCUCUUGCUUCCCUUGAACAUUAUGCUGUUUUGUUUACCCCCAAACACACCAAAAUCAGUAGCCACAUCGCGAAACCUGAGAUUAUAUAAUCAGAACACAAACACCCCCCCCCUUCCCUCUGCUGUGUGAGAGAAACGUAACUUUAAAGAAAAAUAAAAUAGCUUAAUUUUGUACUUUUCUCAGGAUUUGAAUUUGAUACCUCAUAUCUAGUCAUACUCAAUUCAAAUACAUUCUCAGUCCCCACAAGGAGUUCACCUGAGUGUUCUAUUUGCAAUCAGACAAGGUCAGUGAAAGUGAAAACUGCCCUAACAGUUCUUAAUAAUUUAAAAGUAUUUAAGCAGGUUGAGUACGUUUAACUUAUCAUAGUUGCAACAAACUAAGAAAGAAUACCUUCUCUGCCCAAGAAUGGCAGUGGGAUCUCUGCUUUCAUCAAGAAGCUGUUAACCCACAUAUUAAAUAUUAUAUGUCUGAAUAUUAUUUUUUUUGCAAUUAUUCACCCAGUCGCUGUUUAACCCCUUAAGGACACAUGACAUGUGUGACAUGUCAUGAUUCCCUUUUAUUCCAGAAGUUUAAUCCUUAAGGGGUUAAACAUCUGUAGUCUGAUAAAAUCACCUAUUCAGGCAGAGAAUACUGCAUUUUAUUGUUUUUACCCUUUCCUUUGCCUUAGACUAAAUCUCUUUUCUUCCAGUCUAAAUAGGUGACAGUGUACAGUCCUAUUUAUGAAUAGAUUUCCAGACAAUGGUUUGUAUGGGCCAUGGAUAUACUAAUAUAAUGUCAUCAUAUCCCCUCUGAGGUGUCAUUUUUCUAAACUGAACAGAUUUAAAUUUUAUAUUCUUCUUUCAUAACUAAAAUCUUCCAUUCCUCUUAUUAUUCAUGUAUCCUGCCUCUACACUUUAUCUAUAGCCAGAACAGGUGACCAAUUGCACACAGAUACCUCAAAUUACAUGCUAGCAUGCAUGGUAGUGUUUGGGACAAGAAUCUUCAUUAUCCUAUCCUAUCUUACCUCCUUCUUUACCUACCUUGUCUCCAUGAUGUGUGUGCCACUGAUAGUUACGUUGUGUCAUUCUUAAAAUCCACCUAACGCCUAAAGUAAUGUGUAUAGUCUAUACACUUACUUUUGGCAUGAGUUAAAAUGUUCGCCUGAUAGUGAGGCCAUUUAGGAGCCCUUAAACCAUGUUCCGGUAUACCAUUUAAUAGGCAUUUCCAUAAUGCCUAUUAAUAGUGUGAUUUCCCUUUUUAAGAUUCCAGUGGAAUUAUUAUACAUUAUGUAUUUCAUCAAUAAGGAUUACAUAAGGACAGUAUGGAUGUAAUUAGCAAGAAAAAUACUGUAAAAUGUUACGUGACAAUGUUUAUUUGCCCUUUGUGUUAAAAAAACUGUGUAGAAUAUUUGAACAUUGGAAGAUUUUCUGUGUGAGGGGGAGGGCACUCUAUUUUGUAUUUUUUAUUACUACUUUCUUUUUGUUCUUUUAAAAUUUUGAACUCAGGGCAACCGACCCUGUUGCCCCCAUGCUAUGCCACUGAUUCCUAAUGCUAUAAUGCCUUGUUGGCUGUAUAGGUCCCCAACCCCCACCCGUUAGGAGCAAUACACCCUGUUUCAAAUUAUUAUGCAAAUAAUAUUUUUCUCAUUUACCUAAAUAAUUGAUGUAAAUAACAGCAUAAUUCUCAUGUUAUCAACUAUUAAGAGUACAAUUCAAAUUGUAUUGAGCAAACCUCCUAAUGAUAACAUAAAAAACUUACAAUGCACUGUUCAAAAUUAUUACGCACAGUAAAUUUCAAAACACUUUCUAGGUUGUAAAGAACUGAAAAUUGUCAUUUGUUGUGUUUCCAGCAUAUUUACUGAAAUCAAAAGCUAUUUCAAUCAAACUUAUAACAACAUUUUAACUUUUUAAACAUUUUAACAGGUAACAUUACAUUUUAACAUAGGACCCCCUAUUUGAUAGCAACUUCACAAGUUUUGCAUCCAUUGAACUUGUGAGUUUUUGGACAGUUUCUGCUUGAAUUUGUUUGCAAGAUGUCAGAAUAGCCUCCCAGAGCUGCUGUUUGGAUGUAAGCUGCCUCCCACCCUCCUAGAUCUUUUGCUUGAGGAUGCUCCAAAGGUUCUCAAUAGGAUUGAGGUCAGGGGAGGAUUGAGACCACACCAUGACAUUCUCUCCUUUUAUCCCCAUAGCAGCCAUUGAUGCAGAGGUAUUCUUUGCAGCAUGAGAUGGUGCAUUGUCAUGCAUGAAGAUGACGGAAAGCAUAGUUCUUCCUUCUGUACCAGGGAAGAAAGUGGUCAUUCAGAAACUCCACAUACUUUGCAGAGGUCAUAUUUACAGCUUCGGGGACCCUAAAGGGGACGACCAGCUCUCUUCCUAUGAUUCCGGCCCAAAACAUGACUCCACCACCGCCUUGCUGACGUCGCAGUCGUGUUGGAACAGGGUGGUCGUCCACCAACCAUCCACUACUCCAUCCAUCUGGACCAUCCAGGUUUGCACGGCACUCAUCAGUGAACAGGAUUGUUUGAAAAUUAGUCUUCAUGUAUUUUUCUGCCAAAUGCAGCCGUUUCUGCUGGUGAGCAUUGGUUAGUGGUGGCCAAAAAAGGUUUAUGCACAGUUGCAAGACUCUGGAGGACUAUACACCUUGAUGUCCGUGGGACUCCAGAAGUACCAGCAGAUGGAAAUAUCUGUUUGCUGCUAUGUAAUGGUAUUUUAGCAGCUGCUCUCUUGAUCCGAUGCAUGGAUCUGGCAGAAAUCUUCCUCAAUGUGCCUUUAUCUGCAUGAACCCAUCUGUGCUCUGAAUCAGCCACAAAUCUCUUAAUAGUGCGAUGAUCAUGCUUAAGUUUUCGUGAAAUAUCUAAUGUUUUCAUACCUCGUCCAAGGCAUUGAACUAUUUCACUCUUUUCGGCAGCAGAGAGAGAUCCUUUUUCUUCCCCAUAUUGCAUGAAAAUAGUGCUCUGCUUAAUAAUGUGGAACACCCUGCUUUAACAGUUUUUCCUUAAAUUGGGCUCACCUGGCAAUCUAAUUAUCACAGGUGUCCGAGAUUGUUUUCAGUGAUUAAAAGAGCCCUGAGACACAAUGCCAUCCAUGAGUUAAACUGAAAAACAAAAUAUUUAAUCUUUGUGACACUUAAAUAUAAUUUGCAUAAUAAUUUGGAACAGGGUGUAAAGCCAUUUUACUUACCUUUUCUCCCUCGUUGCAUGGUAUCCGCACUGCCAUCCAUCUUCCUUGGCUGAGAUCAUCAAGCACUAUAAUCUCAGCUGAAGUGCAGCUAGUGGCUGUUUGAGUGGUACUUAAACCCUGCAAUGAAAACAUUGCCAAGCUGCAUAAUGGGUAAUCUCCUAUGUCCCUUAAUUUUAGCCAAAUAACUAACCUUAUAAAACCCUCUCUAACCCAACGUUCCCCUUGAAAUAAAUAACAAAGACACCAUGUUGGGAGGUAAAGCCAUCGCUGGCUGCAUUUAUUGAAUACAUCACUGGCAUCAUGGCAGAAAAACCAUUCAAACAGAACGGCCGUAAAAUAUAAAUAGUAACCAAAUUUUGCCAUGCUGGCGGCGCUGAGAGCUAGACUCCUCAGCCCACAAGAGGAUGCGGCUCAACCUAAUCCUGCAGCGUUACACCCGUUGCAUCUGCCCAAGCAGAGGCAUAAGGACAGUAAGGGAGAAUCUUUGGCACAGCCACCUUGAAUGCAUACUGCAGGUGGGCGCCCCAGCCAGGCGACUGCCCAAAAGGGGGUAAAGCCCGGCCUCCUUGCUGAUGUCACUCCCGCCUUCUCUCUCUGCACCACGCCCUAAAGCCGCACCCUCACACCACAAGAGAUAUAAUCUCUAACCGCCAAACAACAGCCCUUAUAAAUAAUUUAUUUUAUUUUUUUGUGGCCCGGUUUAGACCCGGGGCUCCAGAGCCUCAUGAAAGUCAGCCAGAAAAAGGUCCAUACCAGCAGCUCUUAGGUGGACCCCAUCAGGCCUAAAAAGCCCAACUUGGUCGGCAGAAAUGCCUGGAUGCCUAAUGAUGAACCCGUGCUGCUCAGCAACAGCCUGACCUACCAGCCUAUUAAGUUUCUUACGAGCCCUGUAAGUGGCACCCAGAGAAUAAAACCUGCUCCACUUAAACCUGGGCAACACAUUGGCCCACGCGAUGCUCAAGCCGGGUAACCAAGCAGAAAGCCAGCGGAGAUCUGAGCAGACAACCCGAGCUAAGUCUAGCACUGGAACAGACCCCAAAUCAUUUUCCCUGAGAUGGAGCACCUGGAUGUGCGGACUCCCCCAUAAACCUCGAGCCUCCUACAGCAUCACUAGGAGAGCAAGCCAGCAAAACCUGUGUUGUCCCAACCAGCGGACACACACAGGAGAGAGUGGGUACCAAAGAGCCUGGCCCAGCUAUGAGGAGAGUGCGUGCAAUAAAGCCCAGUGGAUAAAGGAGUGACCCACUAGCCAAACACAGGGGGGGGGGGGGAGCAGCUCCUAAAAGGAAAGCAGAGUGAAUAAAUGGAAACAAAUCAGGUAACACUUCAACCUACGCAGCAGAUAGUGGCCUAACACAUAACUUGCACCUCUGCGACCUCAUCUGCCAUAAGCGAUGAAGUACGUCAGAGGGGUGGCCCAGCGAAGCUGCACAAGUUGCAAUGCCAAUCUUUAAAGAAUGGGAGGUGAAAUGGCAGUCACACAACCCCACCUGACACACCGCUAAGCUCAAAACUCUAGUAAACUGAAAACGCAACAACACUGAACCAUCCGCGUGGACUAGAAACUGGGCGCAGUUUAGGGGACGCAAGCUAGUUAAGGAACUAACAAGUUGCACUGGUCAAAGAGAGCUACCUGCCAAGGCAGGCAUGGACACCCACGUACCUCGUCCCUCUUGGUCAGACUUGGAACGGGGAAUGAACAGCAAAACUACCUGAGGUGAAAGGGAGACAUGAGUAGCUUGGAUCCCACGGCCCACCACCCUUGAUGACGGAGCUACCAGUUUCCCCACUCGGAGCGCUCCAUGAAAAGCCAGGCCAAACGCUGUCUGAAAAAGAGCGACCUCAAAUGCAGAAGAACAAACUAACGGUAAAGCAAGCAGAAACUAUAUCAGAGGAGCAGGGGUUAUGGGUUCCCGAGUGUGCGUAGGACGAGGCUCUGACCUAUACAACCUUUGAGAACCUGCCUAGCCAUGAAAAACCUAGAAGGAUCUGGCUUACCUGCAAAUCUCAAAAAAGAAGGAAAGGGCAGCGAGCUUGAUCCCCACAUAGCUCUAGAAAGGCCACAGGAAUGCAAAGUAGCCAGCCAACUCAAAACCGCCCCUGGGAGGCCGCCACAUCACGAACCCCGAUACCCAUAGAGAAACUGACCCAUUCGCCCCAGCAGCGGAUGUACGACCUCCAAGUUUGAGGGGCCAGCGAAGCUCUCACCAAGGGGAAAAGGAGCUUCUAUUGUCCAUCUGCCAGAGAGAGGGAGGACAAUCAGCCCUGAGCUGCCGCUGAUGGAGCAAGGGAUCUAAAAAGAUCCCACUGAAAACGUGACAAAGCAUCCGCCAGUAUAUUAUUGACCCCGGGAACAUGGCAAGCUGCAAAGCGAAUGUUAUUUUGCAGGCACCUAGAACUAGCAAACAGAGCAACUUAAUCACAAGUGGAGAAGAGGCCGACAACCAAUUGAUGGUGUGAACCACCGACUGGUUGUCAGUCCAAAAAACGACUGACCGGUUGUGGAAACGCACACACCACAACUCCACUGCCACCAGUAUGGGGCAAAGUUUCAGUAGAGUAAGGUUUCUCUUAAACGAUCACUAUAGGGUCAGGAACACAAACAUAUGUUCCUGACCCUAUAGUGUUAAAACCACCCUUUAGCCCCGAUGGGCCCCUCAUGCCUCCAUAAAUAUAGUAAAAAUCUUACUAUAUUCAAGCCAGAAGCUGUAACUCUGCAUGCUGUUAGACUCAGAAAAACAAACAGUGAGCUGACAUAAUCAGAAGUGGUAGCCUGAUCCAAUCACAAUGCUUCUCCAUAGGAUUGGCUGAGACUGACAAAGAGGCAGAUCCGGGACAGAGCUAGCAUGAUUCAAACACAGCCCUGGCCAAUCAGCAUCACCUCAUAGAGAUGAAUUGAAUCAAUGAAUCUCUAUGAGAAAAGCCCCCCACUGCCAUUAUACCCCCAACCUCCCUGCCAUUAUAAUCCCCCCUGCUCUAUACCCCCACCUCCCUGCCAUUAUAAUCCCCCCUGCCCUAUACCCCCACCUCCCUGCCAUUAUAAUCCCCUGCCAUUAUAUCCCCACCUCCCUGCCACUAUAAUCCUCCUGCCCUAUACCCCCCACCUCCCUGCCAUUUAUAACACCCCUGCCCUUUACCCCCACCCCUACUGCCAGUAUACCCCCACCCUCCCUGCCAUUUAUAACCCCCUGCCAUUAUACCCCCCAUCCCUGCCAUUUAUAAUCCCCCCUGCCCUAUACCCCACCUCCCUGCCAUUAUAAUCCCCCCUGCCUUACACUCCCAUAUCCCUGCCAUUAUAAUCCCCCUGCCUAUACCCCACCCCUCCCUGCCAUUUAUAACCCCUACCCCAUCUGCCAUCUCCCCACCCUCUUCCCCACCCCACACCACCUGCCUUAUACCCCACCUCACUGCCAUUAUAACCCCCCUGCCAUUAUACUCCCACCCCUCCUGCCCUAUACCCCCACCUCACUGCCAUUAUAACCCCAGAGCAGCCACCAAAUGGUGAGACAGAUCCUGCUGAUCCUGCACCCUCCUAAAUGGUAAGGUACUACUAUAACCCCACCCCCACCCCCUGCCCUAUAUCCUCCACCCUCCCUGCACUAUACCCCCACCCUCCGUGCCAUUAUACCCCCACCCUCCCUGCCCUAUUCCCCCAUGCAAUAUCACACAAUAAGUCCCAGACCCCAAUCUACUCCGACCCACCCAGGCACAUACAACUGUUCCCCUAUUGUCACAUAGACACAUUACACACAGGCUCACAUUCACAAAUUACAUAUGCAGUCACACACAAUGCACAUAGAUACGCUGUCACAAACACAUUUUUUUACACAAGGACAGAUAUAUUCUGGGAGGCAGUGAGGUUAGUGCGCGCCCUGCAAUGAACCGGCAGCUGGGAUAAGAUGUCAUCCUGGCAUCGGCAUCACUACUGGGAGCACAAGUGAGCUGUGCAGGAAGAGCACCCAGCCCAGCAGCAACCGCUAAUCACCAUGGGGAAGAUCCAAGAGCAAGGUAGGGAAACUGGGUGGACCUCUUAAUUACUAAAUGUGUGUAAGAAUAUGAUUUUUGUGUGUGUCUGUGAUUGUGUGUUUCUCUGUCAUUAAGUGUGUAUUUAUUGUGAUUGUGUGUCUGUGAUUAAGUGUAUGUCUGUGAUUGUGUGUGUAUUUAUAUACACAAACAACCACAGAUGUACAAGUCUCUGUGUAUAUAUCUGUGGUUGUGUGUGUAUAUAAAUGUGUAUGUGUUUAGUAGAUAGCUCCCUUAUUUGGUGUCCUUAAAUAUGUCAAUCCCACAUAAGGAUAACAAAUAAGGGAGUUAUUUGCUAAACAACUGAAAGAUUUAAAUUAAGUAAAAGGCUUUUAAAUUUUGAUCUUUUAGCAGUUUAGUACAUAAUUCCCUGAAUUAAUGCUCUUAUGUGAGAUUUCCAUAUUUAAAUAUGCUAAAUUAGGGUGCUCUUUAGAUCUAAAUAUGGCAAUCUCACAUAGGGAUAUCAAAUAGAGGCGUUAUCUGCUAAAAAAGAUCGAAGUUUAGAGGUGUCAGCCAGCGCAGAACAGGAAAUCUGGGUGGCUAGUAUGAAUUCUAUGCAAAUGUGUUGUCUGAUUGUGUGUAUAUGUAUAUGUGCAUACAUCUUAGCAUUUUGCCAACACUACACACAAGCACACCACUGUAUUCAAACAACACUACAAACAAACACACCUUUGUAUUAAAACAUCACCAUUAGAUAUAACCACACCACUGCAUCUCACCAACACUACACACAAAUGCAUGCCUGCAUUCAAACGCCAACACUACACACCCCUACAUUCACUCACACAUUUUCCAUACAAAAACACAUGCUUACAUUUAGAUGCACAAACACUGCUCAGUGCUACAUUUAUUUUAAAAAAAUUGGGGUGUUUUUUUUUACAUUUUAAGGUGGUGGUGGUGGGGGGUGCCCUAAGGAGGAUCCACCCCGGCUGCCAAAUGCUCUGGGUACACCCCUGGUGGAGACACUGAAUGUUUGGAUGCAUUAUAGGCAGCCAUGACCCAGAAAGGAUCUCUAACAGCAUUCUGAGAAGUGGCCAGUGAAGUUAUCACUAGGCUGUAAUGUAAACACUGCAUUUUCUCUGAAAAGACAGUGUUUACAGCAAAAAGCCUGAAGGUAAUGAUUCUACUCACCAGAACAAAUUCAAUAAGCUGUAGUUGUUCUGGUGACUAUAGUGUCCCUUUAAGGCCCCUAGCACACCACAAAGGUGGCGGCACUCCAAAACCCUUGAAAAAAGCCCCAUAACCACAAGAACCCGAAGGUUCCGUAAACAGAUGGAGAGACUAGUUGGAGGAAGGACCCGACUGCCAAAAACGGACUACAUUAAAGUCCGGCAAAAAACACCCCCAGACGCGAAGAUCCUCCAAAAUGUACUUUGUGUCACCUAUUCAUCCGCACAUAAAAACGUGGUUAAUGGCAUUUACUGUUCUGACAGGAAAAGUUGUGCCGAGCAACAUUACCGUCCUGACAGGAAAAGUUGUGCCAAGCAGCAAUCAGCAAACCUGGUAAUUACUUUUGGGGUGAAAGGUAAUGUGCAUGGCCAAACAAAUCCACAGGUGGGUUUGUGCUGAGCAGCAAUCAUGCACACCUGGUAACUGCCGUUGGGGUCAAAGGCCGGUUACAGCCAAUCGGAUCCACAACAGGGGUAUUUAAACUCAACACCCCUCUUGCUCAUUGCCCUGUCAUGGUUUCAUGCCUAUGGUUAUCCGAGAGUGCAUUCCUGAUCUUGAUUUUCUGGUCUUUGGCUUUGUUUUGACUUCCCUGAUAUCUGGUAUCCUUGACUUUUGGCUUUCCCUCAUCUUUGUGUCUGAUUCUGUGUCCCUGACCUUGGCAAGUAUUUUCACUCUUCUUGGAGACGAUAAGUCCGGCCAUUGUAAGGUCCUCAAUACUCAUCUCUUGUUCUUUCAUUGCAGGGCGUCGAGAAGAAGUAGGGAUGAACCUCUGUGGGGGGCCUACCAAGCGACAAGACCUUUCCAAGAUGAAUUUACCAGGAGAGAACUUCAGGAGCCAGCAGGAAUCAAAAGGAGGGAAAGGAAACGGGGAACCUCUUAAAAGGCAAGGGGAGGCCCUGCCCACCAUGCUGCAACAUUUCCUGCCUAAACUUCAGUCCCAUUAGAAGACCUAUUAAUUACAUUUCAGGCCCGCUAGGGGGCCCUACACUACCAGAAUGACAAUGUUUUUACUUGCAGGAUUAAAACUGGGGGGACAUGGAACCCAGACCAUGUAUGUGAAGGAUAGAAUAAAAUCUAGGCUACUAAAAGUUAAUGAGGCAAACAUAGACUCAGUUUGGGUUACGUUAGAAUUUGGAAAUCACACAGUAACUGGUGUAGUGGGAUUUAUAGGCCCCCCAGAACAAAUAGAAGAGUUAGAUAAUCUACUAGUUGAGGAAAUAGCUACAAUGACAAUGAAGGGGGAAAUUAUCAUCAUGGGUGACUUUAAUCUUCCUGAUGUGAACUGGAAAUCCAAAAUAGCUGCUUGUGCCAGGAGCACACAUAUUCUAAACUCCCUACUGGGAUUGUCUCUAAAACAAUUCGUCGAGAAGCCAACUCCUAAAGAGGCCAUAUUAGAUUUAGUGUUAACAAAUGGAGAUUUGAUAUCCGAUAUUACUGUAGGUGAAAGUUUCUGAUCAAGUAAUCAUCAGUCACUGUGGUUUAAUAUAAGAACAGUGACUGAGUCACACCACACAAAAGCAAAAAUUUCAGACUAAAAUUAGAAUAUGUGUGAAGGAGUCAUUAUCAGACUGGAGCAGUUUAAAUGGAGUCCAAGAAAAAUGGGAUCAUUUAAAAGUUGCUGCUGAAGGCAACAGAAAACUGCACUAGGCUUGUCAGUAAAAGCAAAAAAAUUUAAGAAACCACUGUGGUACUCCACAGAUGUGGCCAAAAUAGUAGAAAACUAAAAGUUAGCAUUUAGUAAUUAUAAAAAAACCCAGAGUGAGGAAGACAGAAUGAUCUAUAAGAUUAGGCAGAAAGAGGCUAAGCAAGUUAUAAGAGCUUCCAAAUCACACACAGAAGAGAAAAUAGUACAGUCAGUAAAAAAAAAAAGGGGACAAAACUUUUUUUAGAUACAUAAAUGAGAAAAGUAAAACAAGGAUUAGUUAGAUUAAAAACAAAAGAAGGAAGGUAUGUAGAAGAGAAUAAAGGUCUAGAUGACUGCCUCAAUUAAUAUUUUUGUUCAGUAUUUACAGAUGACAAUGAAGGGAAAGGGCCUCAGUUAGAAAAAAAGACAAAUGCAAAUGCCGCAGGCAGAGAAAGGGUGGGUUGAACUGACCGACCGGAGCAGAACGAAUUGUACAAGCACUGGGGCGUCUGGUGUGAUUGAUUGGAGUUCUGGUGACCCGAGGGUGUUUAAAAAAAUGCGCAGUUUCACCGGCUAUACAGCCCUUAACAAAUUCGUAAUAGACGUUCACAAAUAAACAG